UCGGGAGGCUGAGGGAGGCGGAGCUUGCAGUGAGCCAAUAUCGCGCCACUGCACUCCAGCCUGGGCGACAGAGCGAGACUCCGUCUCAAAAAAGAGAGAGAGAGGAGAGAAGAGAGAGGAAAUUGGCUACAGAAAGAACUGACUUGGAGAUUUUUCGCUGGCCGCUCCUUCUUGAGCCCUGACUGAAAAAGUCUUGUACUCUCGCCCGAGCUGGAGUUCAGCGGCGCGAUCUUGGCUCACUGCAACCUCCACCUCCCGGGUUCAAGUGAUUCUCGUGCCUCAGCCUCCCUAGUUGCUGGGAUUACAGGUGCCGACCACCAGUUCCAGCUAAUUUUUUUGACUCCGGCAUAAUCCAAGAAGCUGGGGACGAAUCCAGGCCACAGUUUCCAAGCCUGAUCCGUCCCUUUGCUCCAGCAAACAAGGCCUCAUUACUGGGCUUAGACUUUCUUCUUUCCUUCAAGAACACAGUGUGACAAGUAGACUGAGGAGGAAUGAGAAUCAAUGCCAUUGUCACCCUUGGAGGGUCUUGUAUAUUUGAGAGCAUCUGGAGAAAAUGCACUGGACUCCAGCCACAGAUGGCUUGGCAGUGAGCAGACAACACCAGGAAGUCUGUGGAAGGACAUGGGUCGUAUUUUGGACUUGACCUUUGGAAUGCAGCUGGGAUAUGACUCUUGGACUCCCAGUAUUCUGGAGGCAAUGAGAGGCAAUGGACUGUAGCUCUCCAAGACAUUCAGUAGAAGUUAUUAUAGAAACUUCAGGCAAGGGGGUGGCAACUUCCUCAGGGGAGCUGGGGCUGUGACUGCUGGUCGGGAGAGUCAGUGGAGCUCUGGGAAGUCAAGGCGCUCAUAUUUGUCAGAAUCAUUGCAGUCUAUAAGGCCUUACUUUCCCCUCUUCAUGUCUUAGUUUAAAUAUGACAGACCUGGCAAAGCUGAGAUUCAACUUGCUUUGUAAUUCAUAGUCACUCUGUCAAAUUUGGUUCUGAUCUCAAAUAUAAUGGAAACAGAUUUCCUUAGGGCAGAAGAUGUCAGCUUUUUCUCUGACCUUGUCUUCAACUGAGAAUUGAAAGCCCUGAGCUUAUUUAUUUUCUGUAGACUCUCCAGUGCAGUUAGAAGGCACCAUCCCACUCCAUAUAACCACCAUAAUGUUCUAUUUUAAGAGCUCCUUGGGUUCCUAAAUACUUCUUUUUAAAAGGCAUUUCAUCCAAAGCAACUGUAAGUGAUAAUUUCAGUACCUAUCUUACCAAUCUGUGCCCUGGACUCCCGGGAUCCUACUUUCCGCUGGCAAUGUGGCCAUUACUGCCUUUAAACACAACCAGCAGAGACAACCUCUCCCAGAUUUCCAUCUUUAAGGUGUGGUUUCUUGGAAUAUUGUUUUCCCUCUACAGCACCUGCACUAGUCCAGAGCCAGGUGUCUGUGGUGUCUGUAUUGUCAAUGAGUGGGGUGCUGGUUGGGAGGAUGCUGAUGUUUAAGAAUUGCAGCUCACACGUUUAAUAGUAAGAAGGACCCAGACUGUGUAAAGAUACAUCAAGAGUUCAUUCAGGAAAAAUAUUCUAGAAAUCAGCCACUCUAGCAUUCCCCUUGAAAUCUUCAGAAGUCAAACUUUAACCUAGACCCACUGUGGAUCUUUUUAUUCUAGUGUUGUAGUUCCAGGGUGCAGAAAACAGCAGCAAAGACUGGAAAGCCUGGCCUUAUCAGGAUAUUAGAGGUCCAUCCUUGGACUUGGCACUGGACAAAGGAAGUAACAUUACACUCUUUAUGAAAAUACCACAGUAUCUUGAGUAGUGUAGCUUUACAGUAGAUCUUGAAAUUAGAUAAUGUGAAUCCUCUAACUCUGUUCUUCCUUUUUAAGAUUGUUUUAGCUAGUCUAGAACAUUUUCAUUUCCAUAUACAUUUUAGAAUAAGUCUCAGUCUUUAAAAGAAGAUUGCUAUAAUUUUGAUAGAGAUAAGUUGAAUCUAUAGAUUAAUUUGGGGAAAAUGAAUAUUUAAUACUGUUGAAUCUUUCUGUCUGUCAUUGUGGUAUGAAUCUCCAUUU